AAAAGCCGGUCUCAGUUCGGAUCGGGGUCUGCAACUCGACCCCGUGAAGUCGGAGUCGCUAGUAAUCGCAGAUCAGCAACGCUGCGGUGAAUACGUUCCCGGGCCUUGUACACACCGCCCGUCACGUCACGAAAGUCGGCAACACCCGAAGCCGGUGGCCUAACCCUUUCGGGGGGAGGGAGCCGUCGAAGGUGGGGCUGGCGAUUGGGACGAAGUCGUAACAAGGUAGCCGUACCGGAAGGUGCGGCUGGAUCACCUCCUUUCUAAGGAG
rnacentral:rRNA from 1 species